rnacentral:rRNA from 1 species
CUCCUACGGAGGCAGCAGUGGGGAAUAGUUGCGCAAUGGGCGAAAGCCUGACGCAGCGACGCCGCGUGGGGGAUGGACGCUUUUCGGAGUUGUAAACCCCUUUCGAAUUCGGGACGAAUGCCUCGCAAGAGGAGUGACGGUACCGGUAGAAGAAGCCCCGGCUAACCUACGUGCCAGCAGCCGCGUAAUUC